rnacentral:rRNA from 1 species
CUAUGGUGGCGACCGGCGCACGGGUGCGUAACGCGUAUGCAACCUACCUUUAACAGGGGCAUAACACUGAGAAAUUGGUACUAAUUCCCCAUAACAUUCGAGAAGGCAUCUUCUUGGGUUAAAAACUCCGGUGGUUAAAGAUGGGCAUGCGUUGUAUUAGCUAGUUGGUGAGGUAACGGCUCACCAAGGCAACGAUACAUAGGGGGACUGAGAGGUUAACCCCCCACAUUGGUACUGAGACACGGACCAA